CAGUAGCCGCGGUAAUACGAGGGGGGCAAGCGUUGUUCGGAAUUAUUGGGCGUAAAGGGUGCGUAGGCGGUUUGAUAAGUCUUGUGUGAAAUCUCUGGGCUCAACCCAGAGUCUGCACAGGAAACUGUCGGGCUUGAGUAUUGGAGAGGUGAGUGGAAUUUCCGGUGUAGCGGUGAAAUGCGUAGAUAUCGGAAGGAACACCUGUGGCGAAAGCGGCUCACUGGACAAUUACUGACGCUGAUGCACGAAAGCUAGGGGAGCAAACAGGAUUAGAUACCCGUGUAGUCCCUGUCUCUUAUAA
rnacentral:rRNA from 1 species